GUUAAAGCUUAAUUUGGUAUAUGACUAAUUUCCCUCUCCAAAACUAUAUCUGUCUCCACAGGGUCAGACACGGGCACAGUGCUUAAUCCAAGACGAAAAAAGAAAACGUCAGAGGCACCAAAGCAUCUGCCUGUGAGGAAAAAGACACCAAUAAACUGCUCCUACCACUCUCGUCUAGAGGCUUUCCCCAUCAGACGAGUUGUAAAAGAAAGAGUGAGAAA